rnacentral:rRNA from 1 species
ACUCAAAUGAAUAGACGGGGGCCCGCACAAGCAGCGGAGCGUGUGGUUUAAUUCGACGCGACGCGCAGCACCUUACCAGGGCUUGACAUGGACGUGCAAACCCCCGAAAGGGGGCUUCCUUCGAGGGUCGUCCACAGAUGCUGCAUGGCUGUCGUCAGCUCGUGCCGUGAGGUGUUGGGUUAAGUCCCGCAACGAGCGCAACCCUCGUCGCCAGUUGCACCGCUCUGGCGAGACGGCCGGCCGCAAGCCGGAGGAAGGUGGGGAUGACGUCAAGUCCGCAUGGCUCUGACGCCCUGGGCGACACACACGCUACAAUGGCGCCGACAGAGGGCAUCGCCAACCCGCGAGGGGGAGCCAAUCCCAGAAACGGCGUCUCAGUUCGGAUCGCGGGCUGCAACCCGCCCGCGUGAAGCCGGAGUUGCUAGUAACCGCAGGUCAGCACUACUGCGGUGAAUGCGUUCCCGGGCCUUGUACACACCGCCCGU